GUUUAACCCUAAAGCCUAAAAUUAGUUUCCGUCAUAAAGCCAUCACAAUAUUAGAAUAAUUUGGUAUAUUAUUUUUGAUACCAAGAAAUGGGGUCUGGACAGGGAAACGUAGACAUUUGCCUAAUAAUGAGAAUUGCCGCUUGGCUUUGUUGCGCCGUAGCCCUCGGCCUUAAUAUUGCAAGCACAACAGAUAGCCACCUUGCCUUGAGAAUAAGCCUUGUAUCAAACUCCCUUGCCUACUCGGUUUCAACUUAUAUUUUUAUAAUUGCAUUUUUUUUUCUUUUUGCUCUUAUAUUUAAAGCUGAUGUUGAGGAAAAGCUUCACCUGAUUGCGUUAAUUUGUGGAUUUUUGUGGACUGUUGGAGCUGGAAUUGGUGUAAUUCUUUACCAUAUAGAUUAUAAAAUCCAUACUCUACAACUAGUCGGAGGUAUUUUGGCAAUGGUAGCUGGAGUUGUGAUGCUCAUUGAUGCACUACACAUUUCUCAUGUAUUUUAAAUAACUGGACGUAGUUUAUUAUUUUGUUAUUAAAAAUUUAAGGUUGUUAAUUUUUCAAAAUUUAAUAGAUUGCCCUUUGAAUAAAAUCUCCACAUAAA